rnacentral:rRNA from 1 species
CCGGAAUUAUUGGGCGUAAAGAGCUCGUAGGCGGUGUGUCGCGUCGGCCGUGAAAACCUGCAGCUUAACUGUGGGCUUGCGGUCGAUACGGGCAUCACUGGAGUUCGGCAGGGGAGACUGGAAUUCCUGGUGUAGCGGUGAAAUGCGCAGAUAUCAGGAGGAACACCGGUGGCGAAGGCGGGUCUCUGGGCCGAUACUGACGCUGAGGAGCGAAAGCGUGGGGAGCGAACAGG